AUUGGCAUGUUUAUAGCAGUGCUGAAAAUAACAUUAUUAAUUUGCUGUACCCAGUUUAAGAAUUUUGAAGAUCUGUUCUUUUCCUAAAACACCGCACAAUUUCCUUUGUUAAUGUCAACUCGUUUGAGGGAGCCACCUAUCAGCACCAUGUCAAGCAGCAGCUGUGUGGCUUAGCCUGAAAUCUUAAUUAGACAUGGCUAAGAUCUUGAGGGCCAGGUUAAAUAAUGUUGACUCGUUUGCAGAUUCUUGUAUGGAAAGAAGAAAGAUAGGAUUGACCAUGUGCAUUGAUGGUUGUAUGGACGUCGAUGGCCGUCGCCGGUCAAAGGAGUAUGAUGGCAGACGUUGUGGGGAUGCCGCACUCAGCCUACCACGAGCUCCGGAUCAAGACGAUGGCGGCCGACGAGCAGAGUUUGCUCGUUGAGGAGGUGGCGGCGAGCGUUGGCAAGGGUUCAUUCGGAAGAGCAGGUGGCGUACAAGAUCGUGUGGAGAUCCAACGACCAGAAGUUCGGCUCCGUAGAGGACGCCGUUACAGAACUAGAAGAAUUCCAAGAAAGAUCAUUGCUUCAAGACUGGUAGCGGCCACAACAUAUUUGACAUCAAAACUAGAUCUGGGUCCUAGAUAUCCGGUCUUGCUCGGUGACAUUUCUAUUUUCCAUUGUGUUAUAUACCUAUAUGAUUGAUUUGCUACAUGAGGUAGUGAGAAAAUCACCUGAUACAAGGUCAAACAAAAUUUCCAUUUCUACAAUACUAGCUACUAACCAACAAUAUGUGUUAACGAUCUCAUCACAGAGUGAUUAGUCAUAGUAGACUAUGUGCCAGCUUAUGUGAGUCCAAUCAAUCCAUCUUUUACUGGCAUGACCCAUUGUGUAAUUGGGAUUAUCUGCACCAACCUUCAUAGACUCCUAAAUAGCGGGGGUGAAUCGUGUUGCAAGGUGAAAACCUAGCGCCACCAAUCCCGUGCGUCUUCAAGAAGCCAAUCCAGCCUCGCUCCCCUCCCUCUCCACUAUGCCACCGGCUCCCCCCUUCUGCCCUGCUCUCCACUGCGCCGUUGCCUCCUCCCCUUCUGCCCUGCUCUCCACCACACCGCCUCCUCCUCCCUUUUACUGUCCUCUCCAGCGGCUAGCAAAGUGAGACGACGACAGCGCUCGAUUCGAUCUACGGAAGAGAGAAUACGAGAGGGAGAGAGACAAGGAAGUGGAGGAGAGGAGAUGAGGGAGAAAGAGAUUGGAAAGAGGAGAGGAGGUGUGUCAGCAGAUGAGAGAUGGUCGCCAGAAGGAGCGCCCACUUUUCUCUUCGACGGUGGCGGAGCACCCACUUUUCUCUUCAGCGGUGGCGACGACUUGCACGCAAAGAGCAACACCACCGCCACUCGAUUUGAUAUGCAGGAGAGAGAAGAUGAGAGGGAGAGAAGCAUGGAGAGGAGAGGAGGUCCGACGACGGACGUGACAGGAUCAUCGGAAAGAGUGUCGCUGGCUACUCUUUUGUAGUAUACGAGUUAAUAGUAUAGAUUCACCUACUCAUUUUGUUAAAAAAUACGAGUUAUGUUAGAGACUAAUACAUGCCUUUGUGUGCUAAUUAGAGUUAGCAAAGUGUACUCUGGGAUUCAUAUCACAAGAGAGAGGGUCUUGGACUUGGAUUGAGAUGAUUAUAUGGAGAAGGCACAUCGAAAGAGGCACAUGUUUUAUUUUUCUCUCUUCUGCCUAAUUGCACGGAUAUGAUAAUUUGUAUGCAUUAUUUGUUGUAUGAUUCAGAUAUAUUAACAUGUGCAAAUGAUGAAUCAUAUUGGAUUGAGAGUACGAAGUGUUGACUGAUUUUAUGAAGGAAGUUGAUUAUAUUAUAUCAUUCUCGUGAUUUUUACUGGAUAUCUGCUUAGAUGGGAGAAUUAUUUACCCAUAUUUUAUUUGUUUCGAUUGUUCGUUGCCCCUUGGCGUGUUCAAUAGAAACCAUCACCUAUCGCUGGCUCGCUGCUAUAUAUUGGCUUCAUUAAGAGAGAGUAAUGAUGCAAUAAAUAUCUGAAGGUGCAGAUGCAGAUUUUGGAGAAAAAACAAGAAGGCUAACAUCGACCAUCGACCGAGAAAAAAAAUACAUAUUCAGGAUUAAAAAAAUCUCCUUCGUUACAGGCUUUCAUUCAUGAUGGGCCAACCUUGAAGUCUUAACGAUUACCCUUUCCAACAUGCAACACUCGCGAUGUGGUGCUUAAUCCUGCUAAUUUUUUUGUCUAUUAAUUUUUAUGUUUUUUUCACCUCAGAUAUUGUAUUAAUUUAGGUUGGGUUCUAACUAGAGAUGCACAUAAAUAACUUGGUUCUCGGUAUCAUAAAACAAACAAGGCACAAACCUAGAAGGUUAUUGAUUAUAUGUUGUAACCCAUUUAAUUAAGCUGGUUUUCUUGACACCAUUUUCUAUUGUAGGCUGUUGAAUAUAUACAGUUUUUGCAAGAGAACGAACAGAAGUGUGGUUGGGUGAGGUCUGGAUACAACAUCUCACUUUUUGUUUGUUUCAACAAUGCAUUUUUCUUUUACUUCCUGCUUUGAUCAAAUUGGAACUAGCCUUGUAGAUCGGAAUAAUUGAAAAUUGAUGUGUAAUAUUAGGUCUGUGAUUGCAGUGUGUAAAAUUGGCCUAUUUAUUCGAUUCUUGUCUUAUAAAAUGUGUAUGUUUUACCCUGAAUGUGUAUUUUUUUCUUAGAUGCCCUUAUGAAUCAGGACCAUCGACCAUUGACCGAGAAAAACCAAGAAGGCAAAUGAUUCAUAAGAGCAUCGCUGCUAUGAACGUCGUCUAAUCAGUUAGUGUAACCAUCGACCGAGAGCUGAGAUUGGUGUUGAAUUUUGAUAUGCGAUGACAUCUCCAGGGAUGAUGAUACCUUUUCGUGUUUGAUCUUUUCUUUACAUACUACAACCACUGUAGCACUCAGCACCUUUUCAAGAUUCUGGAGGAUAGUUCUGUUUCUUGCCUUGCCUAUUUGAUCUGUGUUUUUAUCAGGAUGAAUUACUCGAGGUAAUGUGCCUUGGUGGUGUAUGUGUAUGUGUAUCUUUAUGUC